CAGUAGCCGCGGGAAUACGUAGGGUGCAAGCGUUAAUCGGAAUUACUGGGCGUAAAGCGUGCGCAGGCGGUUUUGUAAGACAGAGGUGAAAUCCCCGGGCUCAACCUGGGAACUGCCUUUGUGACUGCAAGGCUAGAGUACGGCAGAGGGGGAUGGAAUUCCGCGUGUAGCAGUGAAAUGCGUAGAUAUGCGGAGGAACACCGAUGGCGAAGGCAAUCCCCUGGGCCUGUACUGACGCUCAUGCACGAAAGCGUGGGGAGCAAACAGGAUUAGAGACCCCCGUAGUCCCUGUCUCUUAUAC
rnacentral:rRNA from 1 species